UUGACUUUCUGAUUAUGAUGGUUGAGAUUCUCAUAGGAGGGCCAUUUCCACAGGACGGGCAAGCAGCAUGUCACCGUGGUGCCAUUGGCAACUGGUUCCUGUUAUCUUUCCAGUGUUAGAACUUCUGUGGGUUGAUUUUAUUUCAUCCAAAGAAAGAAUGCGAACAUAGGAGCAAGGAAGGACUUUGCAGUUUUAAAUCGGAUGGUGCAGAUAGAGCCACGGAGUUUCCUCGUGUUCGAAAGUAGCGUGCCAAUCUGUGAAGCAGCUUCAUUCAUGGACAUGAGAACCUGUGCUGGAUAAAUGCAGAGACCAGCAGAAGAGUGGCUGAGAUCCAUUCCUUGUCUCACUCCCUGCUGUCAGAAGCCUCUCUGCCUUUGUGUGCAACUCUGUUGGGAAACUCUUGCCCCAUUCUAGGCUGGAGCCCCUGCUGGAGCUGCUGGGCCUGUGCCCAUUUGCUGUGGGGACUGGCCAGGGAACCAAGAGGGCUGCAAGCAGCAUGAGGAUAGUAUUUGACUGACGACGGUGUGCAGAGUUGGUGUUCUAAAAGCACUUGUGACUUGGAGGCUCUAUGGAGCAGAUCACAGUCAGACUAGGUCUGCUCUCUGCCUUGAUCAAAAAGAUUUUCUGUGCAUCAAAGAGUGAUCAAGACAAGAGAUUCCUGGCUGGUCAAGGAGCUGAGCGCAAGAGACUGUGGAGUGAGGACACGGCAUUUGAGAUGCUGUCUUGGAGGUGGACAUCUGCCCUCACCAGACAUUGAACUUGCUAGUGUCUAGAUCUUAGAUUUAUAAUGUGAUGGCAACACGAUGUUCCGCGAUAAAACUGACACAAAAAACAAUGCAAAAUUUGUCUAAGAGAGGUUCAGCAAGCAUGAGAAAAACAUCUGAUAUCUCUCACAGCCCGCCAAGUUCGCCGCUCACGGUGCCAGGGUAAUUAUGGGGUGAUUUGAACAGAGGCUAUGCAGGGAAGCCACUUCCAAAUGAAUCAGGUAGUUUCCAGAAGGGGUGCACAUUGGGCUCCUGGCUCUUCUGGCACCUUGACAGAAUCGAUAAGCGCUGGCCGAGGCUCCCAGCAGCCUCGUACAUUAUCCAAUGCCGCGUCUCACUCCACGCUGCCUAAUUAAUGGCUCACUUCUUUAAAAACUCUUUUUAUUCAAUUAGACUCUGCUUUCAAUAAGAUAAACAUGCCUGAUACAAAAGUCCUGCCCAUCUCCUGGAAGCUUCUGCUUUUCAGUUGCCCCUGGUCCUCCAUUCUGUCCAUUCUCACGUGCUUUGUUUUUUGAAUGGGAUUGAUAUAAAGAAGAGGAGUCCCUUCCCACCUUCUUGCGUUGGAGGCUUCCCCCCUUUAGUCUUUCCACAAGAAUAGCAGCAGAGACUAAUACAACUGUUCUCACUGAUUGCAAAGAGCCACACGUGUUUGAAAUGGGUCAUUGACGGAGUCUUGUUCAUAUCCAUCACUUUGAGACAAAGACUUGCCUCUUCCAUGGGCUGCCAUCCUUAUAUUCUUUAUCAGGCCCGAAUCUCAGGUGAAACGUUAGCCGCUCUUUUGCUCAUUUAGCCAUAUGCUUUCUCAUUUGGCUCAGAAAUGGCUCCAAGAAACAAAUGCCUUUAUAGACUGUGUUUUCAGUUCUAACAUUUGCUUUGUUAUAAAGUUUAUCCUGAGAACAAAAAUAGCUUAAAAGGUCUAUCCUGACUUGAGCAAUCUGCCCCAAGUUGGUUUUACUGUAUAAUUAAGCUGCUGUUAGUGAAAAAAAAAUACAGAAUAGAAAGUUCCCAAUCAUCUUUGGUGACAAAGUACUAUUGCAGUGAACAAAUUAAACUUUCAGGCUUAUAAUUGUCAUAAUGUACAGGUAAAAUGUAAGAGCAGAUGUUGCAUUUAUUUGGUCUGGAAGCCUUAAACACUGACACAUCCCACAGCUAAAGGUAGACAUGAGAGCUGAGGACUUCCUGAAAAGACCCACGUCUAGCUGUACCACUAACUGAUACUGGAUGACUCAAUCUCCCAUAGUCUCUUGUUCCUGUAUUGAAACACAAAUAUGAGUGAUGGUUGUUUGCAAUGUCAUGAGAGUCAAAUCAGGGCACAGGUAGAAAAGACCUAUAAAUUUGUGACCCACAGCACAGUUUUGAAUGCAUUAUCCAAGACAUUCUUCUCCAUUUAGCCAAAUCUUAUAUUUUUUUAAGACUAUAACUUUUCAUCAACAGAUGUUCUUUUCUUUAAUUUGGUAGUUUGUAACUAUGGCCUUAGAAACCCAAGGUGAAGAGGACAUUGCAGAGUUUAUGACUCUUAUGAAUAUUUGGCUUCUAAGGGCAGAGGAAGGUUCUGAUGAUAUUAGCACUGAGGCCACGCUGUGAUUCAGUUUUGUAGGGCACAACACCAUGUGACACUGGAACCUUUCAGGAGAGCAGAAUGUUGGGCACAUUCCAAGGAAGCAAGAGUUGAUCUUUUCUUCCUCACAUUGAAAUCACUUGGCCAUUCAUGUAGAGGUAGAAUCAAUGUAAUGUCCAUAUUCUUGUUCAUAUUCAUGUUAGCCCAGAAUGAAGAGAACAAGGUCAGGCUGAGGACGCUAGCACAUUGGGAGGGAGGUUGAAUGUAUAAUCUAUGCUUGUCGAGCUUGUCUUCAUCUUAGGAGCAUGGUCCUCAACUCAGGCUCGAGCCAAAUGCAUUGUAUUUGUGUACUUUGGUUUUUGAUUCCUCAUGACCACUGAAGCUUGCUUAGUUAGUAGAACCCAUGUUUGAACAUGGAUCUUAGGGACUGAGGUAUAAUAUGUAGUCUUCAAAAAUGUUUAAAGUUUCUCAGGGCCUUCUCAAGAGCAUCUAAGUUGAAAAAUAGAUAUUUAGAGACAAGGAAUAAUAAAUUAUCUCCCAAUCCAUAUGUUGUUCUUAGCUAGUUUGCUAUUGGUUUGAUUAAGCAUGAUUUUCAAUUACAGAAGGAAAUCACACAUGAACAUGUCAUAUGCAAUUCACAAUCUCUUUAUUUAUUUAUUUAUUUAUUUAUUUAUUAUACUUUUGCAGUAACUUAUUGUGUGUGUUUGUAUAUGUAUGUGUAUGUAUGUAUGUAUGUAUGAUAUAUGAUAUAUAUGUAUGUGAAUUGAGUGGAUACAUAAAUGAACCAUGAUUUAUAAAUACCAAUUUUCUUCGAGGACCACCAGUCCAGGAGUGACACUGCUCGUAACUGGCUAGAUCUUCCCAUAGCCAACACUAAUUAAGUGAACGUCCUACAGGCUUGCUGAUAGCCAGAUCUUACAGAGGAGCAUGGUUGACCUGCCAGGAGACACACCCAUCAAGAUACCAACUUUCCCUUCCCCUGAAGCGACGGUAUGGAAUGGGAACUUUGGGUCUUGCCUCAGCUCCUAACUGAAGAACUUAUACAAUUUAAAAGCAGAAUAAAUUCCAGAUUUUGGUUUGCACAGAACUCCUUCCUUCUUAUGCCUGGGAUAGCUAGCUGCCCACCAUUCAAAAGGACAACACAGGCACAUUAUUAUUUAUUUAUUAGUAUUUAUUUUGUUGCACUGUUUCCAUGCAUGUU
rnacentral:lncRNA from 1 species